AAGAGCUGCUUCCUUGUUUGGUGGGCUUGUUGUUCUAACCAGUUGCCUUUUCUGCUUGAAAAUUAUUCACUAUGGCGGUGAGAACAAGUCCGUCUCUCCGACGGAGAUUUUAGAUUCCAAGCUUUUCUUGUGCUGGAUCCAACGCCGCCCAGGGUUACAGCGUUGAUACAAUAUGAGUGCGGUGAACAUCACGAAUGUUGCCGUAUUAGACAAUCCGGCGUCGUUUUUGUCCCCGUUCCAGUUUGAAAUAUCUUACGAGUGUGUCACUCCUCUCCAAGAUGAUUUGGAAUGGAAGCUCAUCUAUGUGGGAUCGGCUGAGGAUGAGACAUAUGACCAAGUUUUAGAAAGCGUUCUUGUUGGCCCUGUAAAUGUUGGAAAUUACCGCUUUGUCUUGCAGGCGGACCCUCCAGAUCCUUUGAAAAUUCGUGAAGAAGACAUUAUUGGUGUUACUGUCCUCUUGUUGACCUGCUCAUAUUUGGGGCAGGAAUUUGUACGAGUUGGGUACUAUGUGAACAACGAUUAUGAUGCUGAGCAGCUGAGAGAAGAGCCUCCACAGAAAGUCCUAAUUGAUAGGGUUCAAAGAAAUAUAUUAACGGACAAACCUAGAGUAACGAAGUUCCCUAUUAACUUUCGCCCUGAAAAUAAUGAAAGAGAGGAGCAAGCCCCUCCACCUGAUCAUGUGGGUGAAGAAGAAGACCGAAACGAAGGGCAAUUGCCUUUCCCUAAGAGUAAAUCAGAUGAAGAUGGAGCCUAAUAUGAAGAUGUUAUUUUUUUAUCUAAUGGCUUGUGUUUUGGUUUUACAGUAUUGUCCCUGAAGAUAUCUCAUUCUGGCUUCUGGUGGGUGAUAUCUGAUCAUCAAAACCCGUGUUUUUCUUCUUUUCCUUUCUUUCUUGUGAUAUAUGUAUCAAUUCCAGUGAAAUUUUCAAGUAGUUAACCAGUCUGGUUUUGGGGGUUUAGAAGAAACUGUAAAGUUCGCAGAGGAUUUCUCCAUAUAAUAAGUCCGAGUCCCUUAUCCUACCGAUGUGGGGACUACAAUAAAAUGUGUAUCUUACAAAGCAUUUCAUCUAGAAUUGUACUCAACUAACCAACACCAAAUUACUGUGAUGUGUUUUAUUUGAAUGAAAAAAGAUAUAAUUAUGCAGAUGUUGCCUGGUUGGUACCUA